rnacentral:lncRNA from 1 species
CACACAAAGGGGCUUGGGGAGGAAAGUUUGCAAUUUUUGUUUGGGGGGCGGGAUUGCAAGUACCUGGUCUUGCCUAGGGCAAAAAAUAGGGCACAAAAAAUACCGGUCCUGCCUGAAUAUCUCUUUAUGUGCAGCAUUUCAAACUGAAAAUGAAUAGACAGACCUACGUGAAAGGGUGGAUUCUUAGAGUCUCAAAAUAAACUGGUUUAUAAACAGGGUGAAUGUGAAAUAUACGGUACUCUGAGGUCAGUUGGGAGCUGGUUACUUCACAUUACAUACAAUUUAAUGAUACCCGUGUCCUGUAAUUGGUGCCCUGCCGUACAGUAUUCCUACCAUGGCUAUUAUUAUGGUAUGUCUUACAGAGAGCUUAUGUUAACAGUUCAAAAUAUUUAUUGAAUGUGCAUUAGUUCCCAGUGUACAAAUAUAUAUGAUGUAAAACCAAAACGAAAAACACACAGAAAAGUAGUAAAUCUCCUCUGCACGUAGCCUUUAUGCCGCAACUCCUAUAAAGAAGAAAAAAUAAUUAAGUGCUCAGUGGUUACUUAUUGUAGCCGAUAGAUUCACUGCUGGUUCUAUAGUUCCAAAUUCCAUCUUCAUCACAAUUCUAGUAAAAGAACCACACUUAGCAAUCAGUAAGCUCCAAAUCUCUCCACAAGGUGGAUCCUUAAAAGUACUCCGUUUAUUGAAUAAUAUGCAACAUGGCACAAAAAAUACACACACACCUCAUAAGUAACUUGCAAUCUAGAUAAAUCGUAGAUUAAUUUACAAUAAAUAAAUUAAUCAAUGUCCUGGUGACUUUAGAGUGACUUCAGUAGAUAAAUAAUUUGGAAAGUUUUUAUUAAUAGAUUGGAUUAAUUUGAAAGGCUUGUCCAAAAUGAUUAAAUCAAAUUGUUAGUUAUAUAGGUAUACAGUACUUGUUAGGGAACAAACCGAUACAUGUUAAUACAUGGAAAAUGACUACAAUUAACACUCAGUAUAUAUUACAUAGUAACAUAGAUUUAAAAGAAAAAACACUCAAGUUCAUGAAUAUAAUUAAAUCCCAGUUUUUGCCUUAAAUUCAAAAUAAGGUAAAAAACAAUCACCGAGUGUGAUUCUGGGUGUGUUUAAUAAUAUCCAUAUUAAUUAUUAUAGCCCUGAUUAUCCUGCAUUGCUAAAAAAAAGAAUCCAAAGCAUUUUAACCCCUUAAGGACACAUGACGUGUGACAUGUCAUGAUUCCCUUUUAUUCCAGAAGUUUGGUCCUUAAGGGGUUAAAUAAUCAACUACAUUUGAUAAAACAGACUCUCCAAAUUCCCCCCUUUUCACUGUAAAAAAACAUAUUCUAUGCUUUCUUCUUCAUAACCAAACUCUUAAACCUCCCCCCCCAUGCCAGUAUUUCCCGAUAGUACUGUUAGGGCAAGCAAGCCUGUUAUGGUAAUAGGAACCAGGUAUACAGGGAAUGGUCUAGCUGUGUAACCAUUCUCCACCCCAGGAUGAGCUGCAUUGCCGUGCCUUGUAUUUAGGAGAGUAACCCAGCCCAAUACCCAGACCCAGGGCCUGUCGUGGGGAGCCAGGACAGGACACGGACAAUAAAGUUACGGUAACACAGGAAACAAAAUAACUGUAUCAGCUGUCAGGAACUCAGGGGGCUGGACUAAAAUACAAUCAGAUACCUACAAUAUGGCAAAGGCGGAGUCAAUCCUGGAAUAAUGUUCGAGGGGCGUCUGUAGAGACUGGGGAGAUGUUACGGGCAAAAAUAAAAAGGAUUUUCACUGUUUCUUGAUAUUCUGCAUUAUUUCAAACUGUCCCAGCUAUCCAGGCAUCGGCCAUGCUUGCUUGUUCCAGCUUUGCCUUCCAUCAUUCCUUGUAGCAUUCCUUCAACCCCUCCUGUUUGGAACUGGAAGCACUGUGAAACCACAAUCUUUUCGUGGACAUCGUCUGCGAUACCUGAUCUUUGCCAGCUCACCCGUCAAAUAUUCCUGUUCUAUUUCUUCAGCCUCAGCCAAGUUCUUAUUAGGUUCUUAGAUUCCUAUUAAUAUGGCCAAUAAUUCAGUAAAAAUUAAAUCAUAAACAGCUGAAGGUAUACAUCCCAACAUUUCAAAUGGACAAAGAAGGACACUUUCAUUUUAGGGGUGUGAGUGGAGGUGUGGCUGUGGAGCUCUGUUAUACACUCAGACACACCAAUAAUAUGGAGCUCUUAGAACAGGUACAGAAAAGAGGGAUUUGGGACUGCCCAUCCUAAAUAGGGAUACUUGGGAGGUAUGGCUGAAGGACCAAUACAAGGCUCCAACUCUCUAGGAUAACAUAAUUUGAUAUUAACCCUAUUCACAGUUUACUUUCAAAAUCUAAAAGGGAAUCCCUAAAAUUGCUUCUCUAGACAGACUGUAAAUAAACCAGUACAUGUUCAAAGGCCUGGCUCUUGUCCUAGAAUAUAAAACACACACUGCCUGAUCUUAAUACAGGGAUGUCCAAUGAUAAUAAUUAUUCAAAGUAAACAUGCCCAGGGUUUGUUAACCUAUUCACACCGUUAGGACGUGGCAUUACAUCCUGAAUUUUAUAUAUAUAUAUUAAUAUCAAAAUGCAUUUAUAUAUAAAACAUGUCAUUGUAAGUGCAUUUACAUAUAAUUAUAUUAUUUAAUAAUUAUAUAUUGGGGGACCUGCCUGACAACCCAGGCAGAAAUUCCAUAGAAUGUAAUUUGUAAGCCCUUUAUUUAACCCUGCAACUUUCUAAGACACCGCAAAACCUGUACAUGGGAGAUACUGUUGUACUUGUGAGACAUCGCUGAACACAAAUAUAAGUGUUUCAGAGCAGUAAAACGUAUAAUGAUGAAUGCAAAAAACAAAUAUGAAUGUUAACUUUGACUAGCGUUUGUGACUAAGUGGCUAUUAAAAAAGACUGGACAUACCCCAUUUUAAAUACCCCGGGUUGUCUACUUUUGCAAAUGGUAUUCCAUGAUGGGGUUCAUUUUCAUUCCUGGGCUGCCAUACGGUCUCAAAGGCAACAUAACCAAUAUUGGCAAAUUUCAAUGUGUAGAAACUCUAUAUUUGACUCUGUAACUUUCCAAAACACCAUAAAACCUGUACAUGAAGUGUACUGUUGUACUCCUGGGACAUCACAGCAUACAAACGUGUAUUUUAUUGCAGUAAAAACUAACGGUAUUAUGACAUUCACAGUUAAUAUGCCGCGCAGAAUUUGUAAAAUAAGAUUUUGUAAUUUCUCCCUCUUUUUUAAAAU